GAGAUCAACCUUAUCCUCAAAGUGAGAUUGAUGGAAUCGCCAGUUAAACUCCUUCGCAUCUUUCCAAGUCGCUUCUGUCAAAGCAGCGGUUUCUCCGAAAGAACAGGGAGAUCAGACUGCACAACAUGAUUGCCUACAUGUUUCUUUAGCUAGGACACAUGAAAUACCGGAUGUACCACAACAAUAGCAGGUAAUUGUAGUUUGUAGGCUACUGUUCCAAUUUUCUUGAUGAUAGUGUAGGGACCGUAAUACUUUGCUGACAAUUUGUAAAAGCUUCAUUUGUGAAUCGAUUGUUGUCGAUAUAAUUGUAGUUUUAGAUAAACUAAGUCACCUUCAAAGAACAUUCUUUCGCU